GCUUUCCUGUGGCUUAGUUGGUAGAGCUUUGCACUAGCAACACAAAGGUCGUGGGUUCACAUCCGAGGAAAAGCA